UUUUAUCGUAGAGCUAAUGAAGCAGGCAUCGAUGCCUUGUACUGCCAGUGAGAGGUGAUGGAGGAGCAGGGUACAGAGCUCAUGCCCAUUUGCAUUGCCGGAGGAGUCGAGGUUGUAGCUUCGAUCUCCUUGUCAGGGAUGUGCGAUGGCUUUGCAAUGUAGCGUUUCAAUUUCGCUGCCAAUUGUUUUCUUCUCCGUUUGGCCGGAUUUCUUUCUUCGGUGUAGCUGCUUACUUUGAAGCUGAUAAGAAUGCAGUAAAGCAGGUUUGAGGAAGAGAUGUAAGUUGGAGGAACGUGUCGGAGGUGCUGAGCUUCUUCGGUUUUGAUUCAGGUAUCGCGAUUCUUUUCGGGAGCAUUGAUCUGUGAUGGAGUUGCGAGAGUUUCAGUCUGCAUGCAGGUUGGUCGGUAUGAGGAAGGAAUGGUUUCCCGUCAGAAGGACAUUUCUUCUCUUAUUUAGAGGUUGCUGGUCGUGAGUCUCUCGUAAAUUGUACAAGAGGGACGAGGUCUUGGAAGCGGAAGUUUUUUACUCGUUAUGUUUGAAGAUCACCGCUUCACAGUUUUUUCUUCAGCCCCUACUAUUGUCUUAUAGUUUCUUUACAAGGUAUGGAUUUUUUCAUUCACAACCGACCGAUGAUCAUUCUUUCGAACAUUGUCUUGUAUGGAACAUAUGCCGAGGCAUUCGUCCUUGUGUAGGGGUUUUAUGCGCAAUGUUAUUAAAGAUACUAGCCACCAAGCCACUAUAAUGGUGAAUAUUUUGUUGUGUGGCUCAGAUCAAGGUGCUGCUUUCGGUUUGGGAUCUGUCUCUUAAAAAGAAGAUACACCUCUACUCGUCGUACCCCUUUAGUAAAGGGGUACGACGAGUAGAGGUGUAUCUUCUUUUUACAAAGGGGUACGACGAGUAGAGGUGUAUCUUACAUGUUCGUAAAGGCAGAACUAAGAUUCGAAAGUUUUGGCCUGAACAUGUAACUGCGAGCGUUGCACUAGUCUAUCUGAAGAUAACACUAUUUUUCAUUAUCAGGACAUAGGGAGCUCAUGCUCUGAACCAAGCGUGAUUGGCCGUUGCUAAGUGAUGGUAGCUGCAAAGAAUUUCUCUGCUUCUUUGACCUAGGAUUGGUUGGAAAGCUGCGUACUUCACAGGUGUCAUCAGGUAUAUUUCUCAUCAGUCUCUUCAAACAAUGCUGAGGCUGCGUUGGUAACGACAUGUUUCCAUAUUAUUGUCAAAUGUGUUCCUGUAGUUGGUGACUUUAUUUUAGUUUUAAUCGCUGAUUACCUGUAUAGUUUAGAAUUGCAUGUCUGAAAACAAUCGGCAUUAGUAAAAAUAAUUGAGGCUUUUGAUACAAUAUGGAUAUAACUUCAAUUCAUGAAAUGAUUGUCGGAGCAACCGUUACGUAGUCAUGGAUGGUUCUGUAGACAGAGGCUGACUGUCUGGUUGUUUUGGAACUUGUGCAUUCUGAAUUCUGGUUUUGGCAUGGAAUUAUAUGUAGAGCAUGUCGAGGUUGCUUUCGUUCACCAAU
rnacentral:lncRNA from 1 species